GCUAAUGCACAACAACCCAAGCUUUUUGUUGGGAUGAUCCUCAUUCUCAUUUUCGCUGAAGCCUUGGCUCUUUAUGGGCUUAUUGUUGGCAUUAUCUUGUCUUCCCGAGCUGGGCAGUCUAGAGCUGAGUGAAGUUGACUCCGUUCUUGCCGCACUGUAUGUGAGACUUCAGAAGAUCAAGACAGCUAAAGCCGAAAGUCAAAAAGUAUCUAUUACGUGUAUUGUUAUUCAUGACACCACCACUGUCACUUCAAUUUGUUGGUGUUAUGUGCUGUUUGUAGAAAUAGGAAUUCAUUUUUUUCCAUUUAAUAAUAGCUUAAAGAGCUGUGCAAUUUGGUCUGUAUUUAAUGUGUAUUUUGCACUCAUUAUUUGUGAACAGUCUGAGAACUAUUUCUUUUCUAAGAUUCGUGCAUGUACGAACUACUUUUCAUCUAGUAUAUCAUGUUUACUCUGCAUCUAUGGGAUUGAAUUUGAAUAUUUCUUUUAUCAACCAAGUUAUAUUUGGUGGUACUUACUUGAAGGUGCAUAUACUUGGUGCUCAUAAUGUAUUCAUUAAUUUAUAAGUAAAAGGUACUAUUUUUUAUGACAAUAAAUAUUAAUCGAGUUGACUCAGGAUACAUCAGUUUCAACUUGCAAUUUUACCGUUCAUAUUUUACAUAAUGCAUUGCUUAUUCUAAAAUUAUAUCUAAAUCGCUUUAAAAUGUUUUGUACAGAAUAACAUGAGAUACAUGUGCUGAAAAUUAGUAAGUAGAGAAGGAUGAACCUAUUAUACAGCUUCAAUCCAUGCACCACCUGGCCAAUGGACAACCAAUAUUGUGACUAACACUUAUGGGGUCUCAGUAUCAGAAAUUUAUGACUUAAAUUAUUCGGGUGCAUAGGUUAUAAGGUGGGUGUAGGGACUAGAAUUCUCUUCUUUCCAGACAAAUGGAUCGCCAGAGUUCAUUCAUGGAGGAUUUUCCAGAUUUAUUUUCUUUUGGUGGCAACCCUGAAGCCUCUAUUGCUGAGACCUGGACUAACCAAGGAUGAAAUAUCAUCUUUAGGAGGCUUCUAAAUGACGGGGAGGUUGAGAGAGUGGCCAGCUUACUGCAAAGAUUAAAUGAUUUCUCUGGUUUAAAUACUAGCCCUGAUACAAUGAUAGAUGGAGACAUGAUAGGGAUGAAAAUUUUUCAGUGGAAGAUUAUACAGAAGAAAUUUGUCCUCACAAACUGGGAGCAUCUCUGGACCUUGGAAACAAAUAUGGAAAUCUAAUAUCCUACCAAGAUCAAGUGUUUCACAUGUCAAGUAUGUAGAAGAGCAUGCCUAACUCAUGAGAAACUGAAAAAGAGAGGUUUUGAGAUUGUCGCAAGGUGCUUCUUUUGCCAUGAAAAGGAGGAAACAAAUAGUCAUCUGUUUCUUCAUUGUAGAGUGAGUUCUCAGGUGUGGCAUAUGUUUUACAAUCUCCUCCAAAAAUCAUGGGUGAUGCCUGAGCAUACAACAGAUCUUCUAACCUGCUGGAUGAGGAGAGGUGGAGUAAAAAACAGGAAAAAAUGGUGGAGCCUAGUCCCUUCUUGCAUAUGGUGGUCAAUCUGGAAGGAAAGAAAUAAUCGAUGUUUUGAGAAUAUUACUAAUCCAAUGCAAUAUUUUCGGUGUAAAGAAGAGGGUAUAGAUGAGGUAGGACAGCUAGUAGACUUCCUAGGCUCUCUGUAAUUAGGAUUACUUGCAUUGUAAUUUUUUGAUGGUUGACAGUAUACCCGCGUUGCUGAGGAAUACAACUUUACCUUGCUUAAAAAAACAUGUGGAUACUUGCAGGAAGCACAACCAGAUUGACAUAAAACAGUAUAACCAACAAUUCUGUAAUUUAACAAAAUCAAACACAGAGCACCUAAAAAUAGCCACUUGGUUAGCAAGAGCACUUGUAUCUCAUUAUAAUUUUUUUUGAAACAUUAGGCAGAACUACAUUAUUAUCAUAUAAACACAGAUCCCUUGUGUGCUUUUCAUCAUUAAUCUUGUAUAGUGAAAAAGGAGAUAGCUCAAUCUAAUGACUCUUUUUUCCCCUCUACCUUUCAUAACCACUCUUGCUAAACCUUUUUCACUUUAUUUACAAUGUACAUUGUAUUGUAUGUAUCAUUAGGUAUCUAAUCAUUACUUACAUUUUUACACUCUAUAUCUGUCUCGUUAUUAGGGAAAUCUACACUUGGUUUACAAAGUCCAAACAUGAAUUGCUAAUUUAUAAAAGACGAAAUGGCUUGGGAGAUCCUUGUACUUAUUUUGAUUUGUAAACCUAACUACUUAGGUUACAACUGUAAAUGUACUGACUCCAGAUCAGUUUCUGUUGCUUGGGAUAGAACUAUGAGUGGAGGAAAUGGAGGAGUCAUAGUGGAAGAAGAAAGUGGAAUUUCUAAGGCAUAAAGUAGCUCGCGAGGGACUUGAACUUGAUUUCCCUAUGAUCACAAAACAAUAUUUUGUUCAAAACAAUUUGAUGUAAAAAUGUAAAAUGAUGUGGCAAGUUUUAUCUCAGUUCACUUUUUUGAUUUGGAACUCUAGUCGAGCUGAUGGCGAGAUCAAUUCUUUGUUGGAGUUUCAUGAGGAAGGAGAGGAACCACUGAUGCAAGUCUACAUAUCAUAGAGCUGGCAGCGGAGGUGUACAAGUUAGUUAGUGGGUGAUGUCCAAUAGUUAGUUGGUGCCCAUUAGUUAGUUACAAUUCUGUUACAAAAGUCAGUUGAAUGUUCAGGAGUAGUUAGUUGAAUUCAUUAGUGGAUUAGAUCCAUAUAUACCAGGUAAAAGAUUUCAAUUGAUUCAUUAAAUGAUGAUACAUUUCUUUUUCUUCUAAAAUUCUCUCUCUUCUGAUAUCUCGGCUUCCAGUCGUGAAUUAGCAUCUCAGUUCUUCAAGUUCAAAGCUCCUAGAAUUGUUCUUCUUAAUUGAUGCUUAAUUGACUGUCAUUGUGCAUCAACCACCGCCAAAUGGUGCUUUUACAAAAGUAUGGCAGUGUGAUUGAGAGACACAAUGAGUCUGGAGUGGUUUAAAGUAGUGUGUUGGAACCACUAGGUGAUGCCUGAUAAAGUGGACUGGGUUGACAAAUCAGAAUGAAGUACGAGGGUCUUUUAGUCAUUCACUUUUAUUGUGUAGUAUAAAUUAUUGUCUUCCUCUUAAUGGUCCACAAACAGCUAGCUAAAGAAGACUUGUGCAAAAACUUUGAGAAGACUUUGUGAAGGAGCAAACACAACUAUGGCCGAUCCUGUAAUUGGUGCUACAGUUCAAGUUUUGCUUGAAAAACUGCUUUCUCUCACUAUUGAGGAACUCAGUAGCUCAAGGGACUGCAAGAAAGAUCUGGAAAUGCUUACAUAAAAUGUAUCCUUGAUCCAAGCUUUCAUUCAUGAUGCUGAAAGACGACAAGUUGACGAUCAGGCUGUGAAACUAUGGCUCAAGAUGCUUGAGAGAGCUGAUGAAAAUGUGUUUGACGAAUUCAGGUAUGAAUCUAUCAAAAGACAAGUGAAGAUCCGAAACAAACCAAUGAAAAAGGUCAGUGAUUACUUUUCUCAUACAGAUUUUAAGAGCAAAAUGUCACGAAAAAUCAACAACAUCAAUGAAGAGUUGAGGGCUAUCAAUAAGUUAGCCAAAAACCUCGGUCUCCAAUCACUCAUGGUUCCUCUUCAGCAAAUCCUAUCAAUUCGUGAAACAAAUUCCGUAGUAGUUGCUUCGGAGGUUGUUGGUAGAGACAACGAUGUUGCAGAAAUAAAGAGGAAGAUGUUGAACAUGAGAGAUGAUAUUGUUCUGUCCACAGGGGUUUAGGGAAAACAACUGUGGCUAAGAGAAAUUUCAACGAUGAACAGAUCGAGAAACACUUUGAAAAGAGAGUUUGGUUGUGUCUACCUGAAAUGUCAGAAACGAAGAGCUUUCUUCAACUAAUCCUCGAAUCAUUGACAAAGAGGAAAGUUGAGGUCCAAAGCAGAGACAUAAUAGUCAAGAUGCUACAAGAUGAACUGGCAGGAAGAAAGUAAUUGCUUGUCCUGGAUGAUUUGUGGCAUGUUAACUCUACAUUGUGGGUAGAGUUUGUAGAUACUUUGCGAGGAAUGAUUACAUCCCGAGGAAACUUCAUUCUCGUGACUACUCGUAUGGAACAGGUGGCGUCCACAGUAGCAACAGUAGGUCCUCAUAGGUUGGAAAAAUUAGCAAAAGAUCAUUGUUGGUCCAUUUUCAAACAAAGAGCAUUUGUUGAUGGGGAAGUUCCAGAGGAAAUAGUGAUCAUGGAGAACAGGAUUGUUGAAAUGUGUCAAGGUCUACCAUUGGCUGCAAGUGUGUUGGGAGGCCUCUUACGCAACAAGCAAAAACAUGAAUGGCAGGCAAUUCUUGAUGGAAACCCCCUUGUUGCAAGUGAAGAUGAUAACGGAGAAAAUAACAUUAAGAAAAUCCUAAAACUCAGCUAUGAUUAUCUACCAUCUCCACAUCUGAAAAAAUGCUUUGCUUACUUUGCAAUGUUUCCAAAAGAUUUUGAGUUUGAAAAGGACCAACUAAUCCAACUCUGGAUGGCAGAAGGCAUUCUUCAUCCAUGUCAAGAGAUCACUGUAAUGGAAGACAUCGGGUACAAGUUCUUUCAGCUCUUGUUGCGAAAUUCCUUGCUGCAAGAUGUUAAGUUAGAUAAGCACAACAACAUAACACACUGUAAGAUGCACGAUCUUGUGCAUGGUUUGGCUGGGGAUAUCAUAAAAUCUAAACUAUUUGAUCCGAGGAGCGAUGGUGGAGAAAAUCUUUCUCAAGAGCGAUAUUUUGGAUGGGACUCACCAAGUGAUCAAAUAGAUAAGAUAAAAGAGCCAGAAUGUUUGUGCACACUGUUUUGGAGAAGCAAUUAUAUAUCGGAAGAUAUGCUGUUGAGCUUUAAGUUCUUGAGAGUUUUAAAUUUGUCCAGUUCAGGAAUCAAGGAGUUGUCAGCCAAAAUAGGGAAGCUGAUACACUUAAGAUAUCUUGAUCUCUCGGACACUAAGAUCACAGCCUUGCCCCACUCCAUUUGCGAGCUUUAUAAUUUGCAAACAUUUAGAUUCUACAAAUUCGGUUCACUCUUGGCACUUCCAUAUGAGAUGGGAAAUAUGAUAAGUUUGCGACACAUAUACUUCUGUUCUCGGUCUCAGACGCCACUUAACAUGGGACAAUUGACUUGUCUUCAGACCCUACAGUAUUUCAAUGUGGGUUUAGAGAAAGGUCGUCGAAUAGAAGAAUUAGGUCAUUUGAAGAACCUUAGAGGUAAGUUGAGGAUCAAUGGUCUCCAAUUGGUCCGUAAUAGAGAAGAAGCUUGAACAUCAUAUCUACGGGAGAAACUGAAUAUUUACAAGCUGGCAUAUUUAUGGUCCAUGAGGAAUCAAAAGGAUGUGCAAUCAAUGAUCAGCAUGUGUUGGAUGGUCUUCAACCGCAUCCUAACUUGAAAACAUUAGAAGUGAAGAACUACUUGGGUACUAGAUUUUCUUCAUGGUUCAGUGAAGAAUCGCUACCAAAUUUGGUCAAGUUGAAAUUAAGUGGUUGCAAAAGGUGCAUUGAAAUUCCACCGCUUGGCCAACUGAAGUUCCUUCGGCAUCUUGAGCUGAUAGGACUCCUUGAAUUGGAAUUCAUCGGACCUACAUUUUAUGGUGUCGAGGUUAAUGAUAAUGGAUCGUGCAGCAAAAUCCAAGUGUUCCCGUCAUUGAAAGAGCUUCUAUGGGAGAAUAUGCAUAGCCUUAUUGAGUGGAAUUGAUACCAACAACAAGAGGGGUAAGAAUGUUUGCUAAGCUUGAGAAUUUGAGGAUUAGAAACUGUCCAUUGUUAAAAAGUACUCUGAAUCAAUUUGAAAUCCUACGUGAAUUAGAGAUUGCGAGAGUUGACAGUAAAAAUGCCGUUGUUGAACUUGUGCAGCAACUUGACAUCUCUCGUAAAUUUAAGGGUCUAUUUUGUGAAAGAGCUCACUUGUUUACCAGAUGAGAUGCUACGCAACAACGUUUCACUUCAACACCUAUGGGUCUCAGUGUGCGGUGAGUUUCAUGAAUUCCCACAAAGCUUGUAUAAUCUCCGUUCUCUUAAGAGCUUAAUGAUUGACAGCUGCACCAAUUUCAGUUCCUUUCCUGUUCCCAGUGGAGAGAAUUAUUUGACUUCCCUCCAAUGUUUUCAUUUAUACAAUUGUGAUGGAUUGACCAGUUUACCAAGUGGAAUGCUAGAGCAUUGUCCUUCACUUUACAUGUGGGGGAAAUGACUUCACUUUCAUGCUUGGGUUUAUCACUUUGUCCCAACUUGAUUAGUGUACCCGCAGGGAGCCUUCACCUUAUCACUGGGUUACGGCGUUUCGAAAUUGGUCCUUUCUCAGAGAUGGUGGAUUUUGAGGAAUUCCAAUUUGAUAUUUAAUGGCAUUCAGUCUCUUCAUACAUUGGAGGUGUGGGGACACUUGCACUGGGAUUCUCUGCCCUAUCAGCUUAUGUAACUCUCUGAUCUGACAGAGAUCAAAAUAUAUGGAUUCGGAAUUGAGGCUCUUCCUCAUAGAUUUGGAGACCUUACUUCUCUUGAAAGAUUUACUCUAGUGGGGUGCAAACGGCUACAACAUUUGGACUUCUCAGAUGCCAUGCCCAAAUUACGAUAUCUGUGGAUAAGUGAUUGUCCAUUGUUAGAAGCUCUGUCAGAUGCAGGGAUGACAAUUGGGUGGGUUGGGUCAAAUUUGGGCAGAUCAUAAUGAGUUAUAACAACAAUCGGGUCAAAAUCCAACUCAACCGUCAAGACCCAACCCAAUUUUUACUAAAUUUAAUUAUUUUAUUUAUUCUUUAAAAUUAUUUUAGUACCUAAUAAAAUUAUCCUUUUCUUUAUUAUGGCUAUAUAUAACAUAUCUAAUUGAAAAAAAGUUUUUCAAUAAAGUUUUUUUAAAAAUAUUCUGAUAAGUUUUGUCAUGAGCCAAUUUGAGUUACAUAUCAACCCAAUUUUUAAUGGAUUAAACUAAUAAAUGAGCGGGUCAAUAACCCGUCCAAACUUAAAUGGGUUGGCAGGUUGGGUUUGAUUUUGGCACUCCUAGUCGAAUGGGCUCGCAACCUUGUUUCUUUGCAAGAGUCAGUUUUAUCAAAAUGUGAAAAACUAAAGCAUCUACCCUCCAGAGAUCAUGCCAUGUGACACCACACCAAAUUCCGAAACCUGGAAAUUAAAGGCUGCCCUAAGUUAGAAGAAAGUUGCACAAAUCGGAGUGACCCAAACUCCCAAUGGUCCAACAUUGCCCGUAUUCCAAAAAUUAAAGUAGGUGGAAACAUAAUUCAGAACUUGAGUAAGUUUCAGUUUUUGAGUCUCAUUUUUAAUUUUUGUUUUCCACGAGUUACUCUCCUCCGUUAUCCUUCUAUAGUUUUUCAAACAUUUUUUGUUCCACUUGAAACAAAAUUUAUGAAUAUCUAUAUUACAGUUAAGAUAUGGUUUAAUCAUGAAUAUUUAUGUGUGUUUUUUCUCAUUGGUUAUUAGUUUCAAGGUCAUGCUAGAAUGUUGCUGUGGCAUUUCAAGUCAAAAUCCAUGGGCGGCAACUACAUUAGGUAAACUUUCAUUUAGAAUACUGUAACAAGUUUGUCAAGUUUUUCUGUUCACUCUCAUGACACAAUUUUACUGUUUAACAGGGUUGGUUAUGUACGACAAAGGAACCACCACAUUUGUUUUGUUGAAAAACAGAAUCUUCAGCCGUAGACUGUUUCAUGAGCAUUUGGUAAAGACUGCAUAAUCUCUCAACAUUUUACUCUUCUAACAACUAUUAAAUUAAAUUCUACGUCGCUGAUUUUUCCAAGUGAAGCUAUUUUUUUUUAUGUACGGGUAUGUUUUGAUAAAUUAUCUUCUCAGGUACUUUGGUCAAGGUAGAAAAGGUAUCCGUGGAUCGAGCCAUCAAAUUCUGUUCAUGAGCUAUUCAUAAGAUGAAGCUAGAAGGUUACUGUGAUAUAAAGACAAAAUGUAUGUCCAUUGCAAACUGCACCUUACUUCUAUGCACGCCAAGACUUGAAAGCUAUGCGGAAGUAUAAGGUAUGCCCGGGAAUAACUUUGUCAAUUUUACUUUUCAGCUCCUUUUUCUCAUUAAAAUACUGAAACGUUUAAUAGGUAUUAUCGUUCAACAAUUUAGUCUUUCUCUUAAUCCUCUAAUAUUAUUAUACACUUCAUUAUAUGGUAUGAUGGAAGUCAUAAAGUGGUAAAGGAAAUUGUUCGUUCUCUUUGAAGAAAUUGAUUGGCAUAACAUUGUUGGUAUACACAGGAUUCUUAGAUGCAUGACAUAUUUCAUUUUGGAUUCCGUUGAUAGUAGAUUUGACAGCAGAGGCCUUUAAUUUCUUGCACAUAGUGUACAUGCCUUUUCGUACAAAUAGAGUUUUUGAUUCCAGCAAACAUUUUGAACUUAAUUCUUAUCUGCUGCAAGCAUCAUUGCCUAGUUGAUAGCUUCUUUAAUGUAGCUCUGCCUUUUCUCUUGAAGUUUAUCUUUGCCGCAUAAUAAACAAAGAGGAUAGACGGUAUAGAGUCAGGUCCAUCCCAGUUUGAACUCUCAGUCCAUGCUCUAGUUGGGCCUGGGCGUGAAGGGAUUACGUUGUUAGAGUGGGUAAAAGUCCCAUAUUAGUUUGGGAAUGAACUGGUGGUCAAUUUAAUGUUUAUAUAAACUUGGACAAUCAUCCCCUCAUGAGCUAGCUUUUGAGUUGAAUUAGGCCUAAAUGUCGUGCUACAUCAGUGUCGUUAUAUCAAGAAUCUAAUUUUACUUUAAAUUAUCUUCACGAAGAAAACAACUAGAUAAAAUUAAAUGUUAAUUUGGUGAUUUAUCAGCUGAUAAUAAUGAAUUUUAGUUGGCUCAUGCACCUUUUAAUAGAGCGUAAUGAUGAUUUUUUCGUGUUGAAAUAUUCAGAUCCAUGUGAGUAUUAUUGUGGCUUACAUCGCGAAUUAAGAAAGACAAAGAUCAAAUGCUAGCUAGACAUUGUAGAUCUUACAUGCUCAAAUUGGCCAAGGAACAAACGUCACCAACCGAAAUAGAGCAAACAUCUAUGAAAAAAGAUGUGUCUACAUUAUUAUCUGAGGAUAGUAUUGAAUACUUUUAUAUUGAUGUUAAGAAUUUGAUAAUUGUAUUUAUAUUUUUAAUUUAUGAUAUUGUCAUUAAGUUAAGAAAAUCGAUGGAUUUAACUUUAAAUUUAUUAUAUAUUUUAUUUAUUACUCCCUCUGUCCCAAUUUAUGUGACACAUUUUGGAUUUCGAGAUUCAAACAAGUCUAUCUUUGACCGUAAAUUUUCAUAUAUCUUUUAAAUAUUUUGAAUUAUCAAUUAUUGUGACUUAUAGUACUUUUUAUGUAGUUUACAAAUAUAUGAAUUUCAUUUUAAAAAAAUUGAAGAUUUCAAGAGCAAAUUCUCGGUCAAACUUAAACUGUUUGACUCUCGAAAAGCGAAAUGUGUCACAUAAAUUGGGACAGAGGGAGUAGUAUUUAACUGGGAUUCGACGACGGACUUAAAAAAGCCAAAGGGCUUGAUAUAUCCCUCAAUUUUGUCAUAUAGAGCUGAUAUACCCCUCGUUAUAAAAAUAACUCACAUAUACCCCUAACGCUACAAUAAUGGCUUACAUAUACCCCUACCAUUACAAAAGUGGUUCACAUAUACUCCUACCAUUACAAAAGCAAAAAAAUAAUUUUUAAUUUAUUUUUUUAAAAAAAUAAAAAAUCAUGUAUUUAUCUUUUUCACACAUAAAUUAUUUUUUGACUUCUGAUUAUUAUUAUUUGAGUAUUUUUUUUCUUUCAUUCUUUAGUGUAAAAAUAAUAGAUGUGGAAAGAAAGAAGUGUGAAUGAGAAAAGAUUAAAAAGUUAAAAAAGAAUUUAAAAUUAAUUAUUUUGUGGCUAUAUUGUAAUUUAGUUUUUAUAAAUGUAAAAAAAUUAUUUGGGCAUCUAUAAUAAAUUUUUGCAAGAAAAUAAGUGAAAAAUAAAUUUGACGAUCAAAAUAAUAAAUUCAAAUAGGUGGUCUUUCCGAAAAUGUUAAACAAAAGUUUUCCCCUUGCAUCUCGGUCGCUUUAACUUUUUUGUUAUUUUGUAAUCUCCGGUGGCAUGAAACUACUGGGCACAUACCUGACCUUCACUGGAAGUGACAUAAAAAAGACAGUUGAAUCAACAAGAAAGAUGUUGAUGAAAACAUAUUUUAUCCCCUAUCGCACGGAAAGGGAAACCUAUAGUUUGUUUGAUAGGCCCGAAAAUGCUUCUUAUUGGUUCCCUGCCCCCUAUUGAUGUGAAUUAGUAAAUAAAUAAAAAUAGUCAAAAGAAAAAAAACAUGUGAGAAUGAUCAAAUAUAUCCCUAUAUGGAUUAUCUUUUCUUAAUAAAAAAAAAUAAUUUAAUUUUUUUCACUUUCGUUAAUAGAAAAGGAAUAUGUGAGUCAUUUGUGUAACAAUAGGAGUAUAUAUGAGUCACUUUCAUAUAGGGGUAUAUCAUCUCUAAAUAGCAAAAUUAAGGGGUAUAUUAAAGCCCUUUUCCCUAAUAAAAUUGACAAGCAUUAUAUAUACAGAAAUUACACAAAACAUAAAAAGUGCAACAUUUCAUAUUUCAUAGAAAAAAUACGUAGAUUACAUUAGAAUUCACAAAAAGCCAAUUAAAUAGUACGUUAAAACACUACAUGAAAAUAUAUAAUACAUAAAAAGUACCGCAAUUACAACAACAACAACAACAAAAACAUGAUAUAAAAUCAAAAUAAAAAUCUAACCAUUAUGUACAACUUUCAAAAUACAAACAAUAAAUAACAACAAAUCAGUCUCAAACAAAUUGAAUUUUUUCUCAUUUUCAUCGGUUUCUCUCUCGAAACAUCAAUAGUAGGUAGAGUGUCCCUUAGUAAGAUCUAAGAGAUCCCUAUCAUUUUCAACUUUAUUCAAGUUAAAGUUGCAUACUAAACCGCACUUGUUAUUUUUAGUAGUUGUAUUUAUAUUCUUUUUGUCGGAAAAUCAUCUUUCCAACGAAAUUAACCAUAUUCAUCAUUUUCCUACAAAAAUUAACAAACAUAAUUUUACUUUUGAAAACUAAAAUAUUUAAUCUACAUGCUUUUUGCUCUAAAAAGGUAACACAAAAUCUAUCUUACUUUCAGUACUUUACAAUCCUAAAGCUUACGAUCCGUUUUCUAGGGGUCACUAAUAUCUUGAUCCUAUAAUAAUCUCUGCACAUAUAUAUAGAUAUAGGAUUGCAUAAAAAAUAUGGAGAAAGAACAAAAAAUUGAGAAGGAAUGAGAUGAACUAGGAUAGAAAUAUAAUCCGGCCUAAUUUUGACUCAUAUAGUGCACUAAUUUAAUGCUCUAUAUGACUAUGAAAUUUAACUGUUGUUAAGAUUUGAUCCAUUCCUAGUACACUAAUUUAGUGUGCUAAAAAAUAAAUAAAUUCACACAUUACGUUAUAACCACAAACAAUUACAAUAUUAUAAUUUUCAUACUUUUGAUCGAAUUUGUAAUCUUCAUUAACGAACUCCAUCUUUUUUUUCACGUUAUUUAGAUUCCUCCCUCAAAUGGCGGUCCAUAUUUUUCUCUUAUAUAGAAGAGACAGUUUUCAACAUGUAUACUAAAAGUAAUUUAACAAAAGCUAAGGGUUAGUUUAGUCUUUGAGCAUGAACCAGUAAUGAGUCGUUACUCAUUACCGAUGACAAGUAUAUGUCUUGUAGGCUGUAGCCAUUGCACAUCAAUCCUACUUUCUUUUUAGAAAUAUUUCAGAAGAUGCAUAUAUGCAUCAUUUUCUCAAGUUCUCUAUAAUUUGUAUGUGUGUAUUCUUCCUCCCAUAUCUUCCUCAGCACCAAAGAAGAAAUUGGCACUGCAUCUCUUAGGAUUUUACCAUUAUUUUGAUAGGAAAAAAGAGCUAACCUUCUUUAAAAAUGUCUUUUUAAAGGGGUUGCCUAAUUUUCUGGUUGUUUUUAAGCAAAUGAAAUUUAAAUUGAUUUAGCUGCGACUAUAAAAAUAUAAGAGGGGGCUUGUAAAGAAAUGAUUAUGUAGUAUAUGGAUGAUGAACCAAAAAGGUGGGAUCUUGGGUAAGAGAAUGAAAUUUCAUUAUUCUGGAAUUCAUCUUUUAUGCAUUUUCUAAAACCAAUAAACUUGAUCUUUAUUUAUUAAUCAAAAUUGGAUUGGAUUUUGUUUAUAUAUACAUACUAUUAGCUGUAGGUCUAGCUUAGUGUUAGUUUCUUUUAACAAAAUUCAUCAAAGGUUGAAGUAGCUAUUUUUAAAGAAAUUUUCGUUUUAUUUUUUAUUUGAAAAAUAUAAUAUUGUAACUUUAACAUUUAAACUGGCUGAACUAAGUUUAAAUUUAGGGACGGCAUGUCCUCCAUCCAACAAGGGGCUAUGCCAAUUUAGACUAUCAAGUUGAAAUUUUGUAUUUGUUGCAAGCAACUAGAUUGAUAAGUCACUUUUGACAAAAUUCAAAUUAUCGAAUUGAAAGAGUAUAGAUUUUGUGUUUGGUAAAUAUACUAUGAUAUUAGAUAUUGGUGUAAAUCUCAUGUGGUUGAACAAUGAACACACUUAAAAGUGAUGCGUUUUUUUAUUUUUUGAAGAUGGUAAAAUCUAUAUUUAUUGGUUUGGAUUUUUUAUUUCUCCGUCUUUAUGUAGACAACUUUGGCAUGAUAACAUUGAAUGAGUGCACACAAAUGUGUUCAGUGAUAGUGCAUCAAAAUUUUAGAGAUCUCCCUUUAAAUUAUCAGCUUAUUACAUACUUUAUCAAACUUUUUCAUGCUUUUAACUUCUGAGUUAUCUCUGCAGAUUCUAUUUGACAAUUUUAUCUACAAAUAAAGAUGGGAAAAUUACAUCACUAAUAUAUGAUGUCUAAAUAGUAUGAGUUGUAGAUAGUUUUGUUGUAUAUACAAUGUAAGGGAAUAAAGGAUAUGUACUUCAAAAACAUUUACCACUACAUGUUAUUCCAAAAUGUGAAUAGAACCUUAUUGUUUUGCCAAAAUUGUUCAAAUCUUUAUAGUAUUGGGCCCGUGCUAACACGGGCCAUAUUUCUCUAUAUAUAUAUAUACUAGAAGGGAGAGCAAGUGCAUCGCACGGGUCCAACAUGACUAAUUUGAUUGCACUGCUGCAAUUUUCACGCUCUGGGUUCUAAUUGAUUUUGGCCGGAUUCUCCUUUAGUGGCAGAAGAGGAUUAAACUAGCUUAAAAUGUUUUAGAUGUUAUUUUAUUAAUUUUAUCCAACUUGGAUAAAAUUGGUAAUAAAGAGUGUUGCAAUUUUUCUAUUGAUUGAAUUGUAGCAACAUAUACAAAUUAAAGAUAUCCUAAGUAUCCUGACUAUAAGUUGAGAAAGUAAACACAAAUUUAAAAGAAAAUCAAAUUAUUUGUGAAGUGUUUUACACAAAUAAUUGUGAAUAACUUAUGUCUAGCAGGUGAACAAUAAUUUCUUCAACUAAUGAACUAAGCCUAUGAACUGACGCAUCCUGUUCAACCUUUCCAACAAAGCUAUCAGCUGUCUCGUAAUUCUCAAAAAAGACUCUUAAGACUCCAACUUUCAUAAUUAACAAUUCAAUCUCUUUAUGAAGAUCAAUCAUUUAUAUUUGUGGAUAAGAGUGACAUUGUAACUCCCUCCAUUUGCUUUUGAUUUUUGAAUGAUGAGACAAAGGAAUUAAGAGGAGAAAAGGGAAAUGAAGACUUUAUGAACAUGGCUUAUAAGUUAGAGGUGGUUCAAAUCAUUUAUCUUUGUUGAAACAUGUGGAUUAUGUAUUUAUGCAUGUUGAGCAUCAUCUUGCGGAGGAUCAUUGCAGACAAUACAUAAAGAGAUUGAAUUGUUAAUUAUGAAAGUUGGAGUCUUAAGAGUCUUUUUUGAGAAUUACGAGACAGCUGAUAGCUUUGUUGGAAAGGUUGAACAGGAUGCGUCAGUUCAUAGGCUUAGUUCAUUAGUUGAAGAAAUUAUUGUUCACCUGCUAGACAUAAGUUAUUCACAAUUAUUUGUGUAAAACACUUCACAAAUAAUUUGAUUUUCUUUUAAAUUUGUGUUUACUUUCUCAACUUAUAGUCAGGAUACUUAGGAUAUCUUUAAUUUGUAUAUGUUGCUACAAUUCAAUCAAUAGAAAAAUUGCAACACUCUUUAUUACCAAUUUUAUCCAAGUUGGAUAAAAUUAAUAAAAUAACAUCUAAAACAUUUUAAGCUAGUUUAAUCCUCUUCUGCCACUAAAGGAGAAUCCGGCCAAAAUCAAUUAGAACCCAGAGCGUGAAAAUUGCAGCAGUGUAUAGUGACAAUUCAUGUGAUUAUCUAGUCUAGUUGUGUGAGGUUAAGGAAGAGAGAAAACCAAGAAACUCAAGUUGGCAACUAUAACCUGAUAAAUGAAAUGACUAACACAUGGAAGAAACCAUUAUAUAUCUUCUCAUCUAAGUUGCUCGGACUAUCCAAAAAUGUUGCUGUCGCACUCGUGUCAGACACUAUCCGACAUGCACCCGUCGAUAUUUUUGAAGAGUCGGGGCAAAUAUAGCUUCUCAUAUCCCCUGAGCAACUUUCAAGACUACAAAUUUAAUAUAGAAUCGGAAAAAGACAACACUUGUAGGACCAAAAGAACAAUGGUUAAGUUGCAAUAUGAUCCUUAGCAUUUACCUUGAGAAAAGGUCAUCGUAAAAGUACAUUGUCAAUCUGUGCAGGAAAUCAUACAAUAGAAUCGUUAUAAGCUACAUAAAAAAUUAUAUUUAUACACAUUCUCUGAUCUAUUCUGAAAUAUAACACAUGAACACACUUCAUGAAGCUACAUCGCUUUACCAGUAAAUCUAAAACAUUAAAGUGACUAAAAUCUUUCAUAACCAACAUAACGAUCCACCCUAGUUCUUAAUGGUUGAUCGAUCACUUCAAAAUAAUUUGUAUUCGAGAUCAAGUUAUUCAUAUCAAUAAGCUCAUAAUAUAAAUAAAAUUAUCAUCUCAAGAAUUAAUUAAAUCUGUCAGGACAUGACAGAUAUAUAGCACCGUUUGUUAAUACCAAAUAAAUUGUUUCUCUUGUCUCUUUGACAAAUUAAUUUCUUUGUCUGUCACUUGUUGUCUAUUCUUAUCGGCAGAUUGUCCUUUGUAAGUAGGUAAGAUAAAUACCGGCUAUGGCAUUCAAGUAACGAAGUGGAAAAGAUGGUAGAAGUGGGGAGUGGAUCGAUGACGGUUUGAUCAUCAUCAUUAUUCAUAGAGGUUGAGGAAUAAAAACAGAAAAUAUGCAAAAAAAUAUAGAAUAAUUAAAAUAUUAGAUUGACAAGCUAUACCAAAUAAAUAUGCAUUAUUUUUUACCAAUAAAUAAAUAAAUAUGUAUGGUACAAAUCUUGAUUUAUGAGUUUCAUUGUACAAUUCUUGAUCUGCAAGAAGUGUAUAUUACUCUUGAAAAUCAAUAUCCAAUGGUAACUUUUUUUGUUCAUUUAUUCGAAAAAGUGGUUUUGAUAUCUUUCAACAACAUAUUCAAUAAUUUUUUAUUUUUUUCUCAUUUUCCAAAAUUUGUGCAGUCCUCUUCUCCUGUUGGCUUUAGAGUUUUACACUACUCUUUGUUCAUCUUUGGCUGAGAAAAAAAAUCAACACGAGAAAUGGCAGCCAAAGUAGCAAAGAGGAAAGUAAAAUUGUAGAUAUAGCUAAUAUGAUACACGUGGGUCGACGUGUUUAUAGGAAAAGACCAUAAAGCUCAAUUAACAAUGAAAUGGAGCCCACUUGUACAGUACGAAUUAAAUUGCUCUUCGUACAACCAAUUAGUGCUGGUGUUCAAUUUGGACAGCUUUCGGUACAAAUUUUUAAUGUUGUGUUCGUCCCAACAACUGUCAUUUAUAAAUAUUGGUAAGGUAAUAUAGUUGAUUUCAUAUCUUAUGUCUUGAUUGUGUGAUAAAGGUAUGGUUAUUAAAAGAUACCGUUGGUGCCUCAUAUUUUAAUUAUUAUUUUUUUCCGUUUAUAAUAUCUUCAAAAAUAUUUAAAUAUAUUAUAUUAUGCUUAGGAAAAUAUUAUUAUAAAAAAACUUAUUAUAUUUUGUAAACAAUUUUGUUUUUGGUGGGCAACUUCUCUAGAAUGAUAGUGCAAACGACCGCCUAAGUUAUUAUUGAUUUCAAUUAAAAUAGUUAAAACUCUAUUAUUAUAGAUACCUAAAGUUUUAUGGUUUUUUUGUUACAAUAUAAUCGUUAACUUUGCAUUUGAAAACAACAAGUCAGGAUGGCCGAGUGGUCUAAGGCGCCAGACUCAAGUUCUGGUCUUCGUAAGAGGGCGUGGGUUCAAAUCCCACUUCUGACAUUUUUUUUCUUCUUUUUAUGCUGUGUGACUCGUUUUGCAAUGUUAAUUAAAUCUCAAAAACUAUUUUAAUUUAUGUUGUGUGACUCAUUUAAAUAAAAACUUCAGAAAAAAAAUAGAUUCAACUUUUUUUAUUCUUUUAAAAUAAAAGUAGUGUUCCGAUAAGUUUGAUUUUUGUUUUGACUAUUAAAUUGGAUAUUUAUCGUAUCCUAUUAGUAAAGGUACUGUUCAAGAAAAAAAAUAGAUUCAACUUUUUUUUUCUUUUUAAAAUAAAAGUAGUGUUCCAAUAAGCUUGAUUUUUGUUUUGACUAUUAAAUUGGAUAUUUAUCGUAUCCUAUUAAUAAGGGUACUGUUCAUGAUUUGAUUAAAUUUUUUAUUUCAAAUUGAAACUGAACCAAAUCAAUUAAAUUAAUCAAUAUUCUUAAGAUUUGAUUCUAAAUUUUUUAGAAUUGAUACUAUUUGACUUGAAAUUGAUUUUAGUAAAUAAAAAUUGAUAUAUAUAUAACGAGUUUAUUUUUUAUGAAUAAUUUAAAACAUCAUACAUUUGCAUUAUUUAUUUAAAUAUUGGCUUGUAAUUACAGAGAUAAGGAUAUUUAGGUGGAUGUGUGUGCAAUCUAGGAGAUAGGAGAUAUAAAAUUAGGAAUGAAGAUGUUCGCAACAAGGUUUGAGUGGUUUUCGUGGUGUACAAGUUGAGCAAAGUAUGAAUGAGAUGGUUUAGGCAUGUGGAGAGGAGAAAUGUAGAUACCCCUACGAGCUAGGAAGUGCAAGAGGUUGACAAUAACGGAUAUCAUGAGAGGUAAAGGUAGACCAAAGAAGUAUUGGUGAAGGUGAUUAAAAAAAAUGAUACAUCUUGAGCUUACCAUGGACAUGACGUUGGAUAGGAGCUAGGGUUCAGAUGUCGCAAUUUAGGGUAGAAGAUUAGUUGGUAGUUGAACAUUCUCUCGUUUUCUUAUGGAAUAGACUUGAUGCUCCUAUUUGGGCAUUCUUUCUUAUUCGCGGUAUUAGCACUAUCCCCGUAGUCCUUGUUAUUCAGUUUCGAUUAUCACCUGUGGUUGGUGUGUGCGUAUUUUGAUUAUCACAUUAUUUUGUUGUCUUAUUGUUCUUUCCUUUGUACAUUAUAUAUUUCUCUUCAUUUCAGAUUAUUUCGUUAUUGCUACUACUCUCAUUCAUGCAUUUCAUUUUCCUAACUGCUUGGAUAUGUUUAUCAUAAGUCGGAGGUUUAUUAAAAAGAAACUCUCAAUUUCUUCGAGGUGGAGGUAAUAUCUGCGUUUACUUUAUCCUCUCCAAAUUAAUUUCACUUAUGAUAUUACAUUGAAUUUGGUGGUGAAAUUUUAUUUGUGAGAUUACACUGAUAUUUUGAUUAUUUUUUAUUAUUUUAGUUAGAAAUUGUUAGUUUUGAUGCCAUUAUUUGGCAAGAUAAUUUCCCCAUACUAAUUAUACAACAACUUAUUUCAAAAUAAAUAAGCAAAAAAGAUAAAGUUAGUGCUAAAUUUAGGGGUUGUUUAGUUUGAAGAGAUGGAAUAAGUUAUGCUGAUAUAACUUAUAAGUUAUGAUGAGAUUAGUUAUGCUAAAAUUAUAUUUAUAGGCUGUUUGGUUAGUCAUAUUCAAAUAACAUGCAUGACGUGAUUUCUAAGAAUAAGUUGUGUGUUUACAAAAAUACCCUCCCUUUUAUUUAGUUUGUUAUACUUUCUUUACAAGCUUUAGUUAAUCACUCUUAAAAUUAAAAUUCUCAUCUUAUUUAACUUAAAUAUUUUUGUGUGUGCAUUCUCAUAAUUAUGCCGUAUGUUUUUAAAUAUAAAACAUCUAUCUCAUUUAGUUUAAAAAUAAAAUUUUAAUCUUAGAUUUGCUAGAGUGAAAAAGAUUUUAUUGUUGAUGUCACUUUAUUUAAGCACAUAUCACUCGUAUAUUAUAAAACAUCAAGAUUAUCUUCAUUUUAAUUGAUAUAAAAAAUACAAAUUUUCAAGUGAUGAUAAGACUAUUUAGUUAAAAAACUAUGUGAUUCAAUAGUGAAGUGAACAUUUUAAGAGAAAUCAAAAUAUAAAUAAACAUAAGAACUAGUCAAAUAAAUUCAACGUAUAAUAUAUUCAUAAACAAAAAAUAUGUUUAUAUAGCAUAUUUUUUUAAUGAAAAAAAUAUAUAAUCAUAAAAAUAACGCAUAGUAAAGAUUGUGAAUAUCACUAUAAAUGAUACUAAAAAUUAUUUGAACAUACACAUAUGUUAAAAUGAUGCAUAAAAGAGGGUUUGAAAUGAUAUUCUUGUUAUCUUACAUUUUUAUUAUCUUAAUAUUAAUAUUCCAUCCACUAAUAAAAAUAACUAUCGCACGUUUUGCGACCAAACAAAAAAUUAGGGAUUUUGAAAACUUUAUGGAAUUAUUUUUUCUUAUCCAUCACGCCAAAGUCCAAACGGGUUAGUUGAAAGACAAUCUAGGCACCAAACGACCCAUUCAGGUUCCUAAUAGGCGUGUGCGCACAUUCGAUGCAGCUCUCUCGUCAUCACAAAACUGAUACUCACAAGCUCAGGGUUUGUGAAUUCUAGGGCUUCUAAAGGAGAUCUAGAAGCUUCUUUCUCAGAUCCCAAUUUUCCUCAAUUUGCAGUCGAAAAUGGCGCCUCUUCCAGCACCAUACUCAGGAACCAGCACUCUUGCUCUGGUAAUCUUUUGUCUUCUACACUUCGAUCCGUUUACGACUACUUCACUGUACAUCUGAAUAAAAAUCUCCUUUAUUAAAAUGAAUUUUUUGAUCUUAAACUAUUUUGGUUGUGGUUGUUGGCGGCAGGUGGCGCGCGCAUCAGCAUUUACCUUUGGACUCGCUUAUGGAAGCGUUAAGCUCAAGUAUCUCAGGGUAUUUUCCUCCCCUUUUGAAUUUUUUUAUUUUUGAUAAGUGAUUACGUAGGGUACUGAAAUGAAAUGGGACUGAAUAAAGCGAGAUUGAUAUAGAUGAUUUGUGUAGACUAUACUGAGAUUGAAGCAUAGCUGGUUAACCGAAUACAGAUUUUGCACGGGGUUUAGUUCAUCAGAUCAUUUACUUGAAGUUCCUUAAAUGUUAUGAUUCACUUUUAGUUUCGCGGAGCAGACAUUUAGUGCCUCAUGUAAAAUGAAAUGAGCAUGUGUGUAAUGCAGAACAGACAUAGUUGGUUUAAGUAGCCAACCUAGACAGUUUAGGAUUUGCAAUGUUGGUUGAUUGAUAGACUUUGAAUUGAAACCUGGCAUUUAAGAGUUUCUUUUAAAAUUAAAUGGGCUGAUGGAUGGAGCAGAGCAGAUAGGUAAGAUUCAUAUAGCCAACCCGACCAGUCUCGAAUUGAGGCAUAGUUGGUUAAUCGAUUAUUCUGGAAGUUUCAACCUGCACUGUUUUCUUUUCUUUUAUUGGAUAUGAUGUUAUGUUUUCUGUUCCAGAUAUGAUAACAAGCCCCGUUGAAAUAAUUCCUAAGUAGAUGAGUGGAUCAAUUGCUAGGUAUUAUUGUUCAUGAGGUGACUAGUAAGACAAGAUUAACUUUCUAAAGUGAAAUUACAUAUCGAAAUGUAGAACCUGAAUGUUUUUCUAAAGAACUUGAUGGAAUAAGUAUGAACUUGAGGACUGAUUGCUAGUCUUUCUACUUUGACUUUGCUGCGAAGAUUUUAGCCAAAAUGAUCCUCCAACUUAUGCCUCAAGUCUCACAUAGUUGAUCAGUAAAAAUGACCCGAAUAAUCCUUCGACUUGCUAGGCUCGUGACCAAAAUUGUCAAACUUUAACUGGGUUCAGCAAGACAAUAACUAGAGAAACGCUACUCACAUGGCUGCUUAAGUAAAUGUUGGUAUUACUAAGAAAAAUAUUCAUUGGAAGCCACUUCUUUCCCCAAUCUUGUUUUGAAGCAUCAGAUCUCUAGAUUUUCAGACACAAGAUUGGUGGAAGCAGUCAUCUGCGCUUUAUCAUCCAUUUCCUGAGUAGAGUAAUCUCUACUCUCUUGUCUUCUCUUUUUGUAUUUUUAACCAAUACACAUCUCUUUGUUUUUGGCAUGCCUAACUUAGCCAAAACACAAUUUCGAUGAAUACAAUCCAAGUUCUUAAUAUCUUAAAACUUUAAUUGCGCAAUAAGAACAAUGCCUCAGUCUCGAACAAGUUGGGUUAGGUAUAUAAAUCUUCACUCACCAUUAUUUAAACACAUCUAAGGCCAUUAUUAUAUAAAAUAGAAAUAACAAUAAAAAUAGUUUCUUUUUUUAAAAAGGAACAAUAGUAAAAAUAAAAGUACAUAUGAGAUGUUUGUUGUAAUUACUAUUGAUGUAUAAAUCUCUGAAAGGUUAAACAACUUCCAAAAAGAUAGGAUAUAAAAUGGAAGUGCUAACUUUGGCUAAAAUAUAUUCUCAACUUAUAGGUGCUAAAUCUCUGAAAGGCUAAGUAACUCCUAGUCUCCUAGAAAAAAUAGGACGUAAAAUAAAAGAUAUAACACAACUAAAUCAUAUUUUCAACUAAUAGGUAUCUUUUAUUAGAACCCUUCAGGGUGGCCCAGUGGUGGUUUGAGCUUGAGACUUCCAUAUUGGAGGUCUCAAGUUCGAAACCCCUUGCCAGCGAAAGCAAGGGGUUUGCCUUCUGGGUGGAGCUUGUCGCACCGGAUUUGCCUAGUGUGGGUUUCCUCCCCUGUGUAGUUUGCGAGCUAUUGUAUAGGAGCGAGGGUUUUACCCUGUGCACACCCAAAGGGUAGCGGCUGCAGGUUUCCCUUGUCAUCAAAUUAAAAAAAGAAGAUAUCUUUUAUUAGAUCUUUUUCUUCCAUUGUUUGUUGACUUUGCAUGGCCAAGAAAUUGUAGAUCCUUCGAGACAACUUCCUUUCAAGUGAUUUUUGGUCUACCUUGUCCCUUGUAACAUCCUCACUUACCAUGGUUUCAUAUCUAUGGAUCGGGGCAUCAGGCAGUCAACAUAACAUGAUUAUACCAUCUCAAACAACUCUCUCAUUUCAUCCUCGAUUUAUUACUUGGGUGUGGGUGCUAAGAUGAGUGUCGCAGAGAUGUGGGUGCUAAGAUGGACGUGCGGUUAUACAAGACUAAACAAGAUUAAGAAUGACUAAUCUUGGUGCUCUCUGAUUUUUGUUUAUUUUUCAAUGAAUGCUUGUCACCUUAAAUGAGAUGGAUCUAUUUGGGUUAGGUGAUCUCCUCCUCCUCCUUCAUAGUGGAGGGGUGCUUUAUCUGAGGGUUGUUCCCAAAUUUGUAAAUGGAUAAUAUGUUGUUAAUUCCACCUAGAAAUUCACAAAAGUGGUGCAUUGUGAGGAUAUCAUUGUUAUAUUGGAAGUUCCUGCGCUACUUAUCCUUGUAGCAACUGUUACAAUAUAUUAUUUUCUUUUUUUCUAUAGAGAUGUUUGUAAUGAUAGUUAAUUCUAGCUGAUUUACUUUUUUAAAUCAGAGUAAUUGUGACACUUUUUCCCCUCUAUGCUCUUUUCUAGGCAAAGGCCAAGUCUCAAAAGAAGGCGGAAGCUAAGGCACAUCACUGAAAGAUAACUCAUGGUGGAUUUGCUCUUUGCUGAUAGAAUAAGAUGUGGCUGAUUAAACUGUAUCACGUUUCACCUGAUGCUUAUACGAUAAUUAGAUUCUGACUUGUAGCUGUUCAAUAUUGUGGUCUUUAAUGGUUCAGUGGUUUCUACACGAUCAAAUAUUAUAUUUGAAGUAAUGAGUCCUCUCAUUAAAACUCGAAUAACUAUAGUUAAAUCUGCCUCUAUAUAGUGAUUUAUAGUUUCAACAGGAAGUAGUGACAAAAGUUGGCCUAAGGAAAAAAGGAGGAUCCCAAGCAUAAGAGAAGUUGACAGUAUUCUUUCCUGGUAUGAUAUUGCCAUUGUUGACACUACAUUCAUUGUUUCCCAAAGGCUUGAAAAUAGUUGGAUCCACUGGCUCUGUUGUCUGAAAAUCAUUGCAAGACAAUACCAAUUUUUGCAUGGGGCAAUCACAAUUGUUCACCACAACCACAUUCCAUUCUGGCUUUCCCUUUAUUUCUACACCACUCCUUAUUGUUCCAACUGUUAUAUUGUUCAAACCACAACUACAAACACCUACACAAAUAAACAAAAAGAUAUAAUGAGGAAACAUUCAAUUUUUAUUUUUGUUAAAUAACUUACAUGCCUUAUUUAUAUAUUUCAUACAUUGGUUGGUUAAUCGAGUAAUUUAUAUAAAUAUAUAAAAUACACCGAUAAAUCGAUUCUAUCCCUGAUUGAAUAGGAGGCAAACACUUGUGAAAAGAUCGCUUGAAUUUAAGAAAAGCUCGAGUUCCUUCUCUUCUUUCUUUUUAGAUUAGAAUGAUGACAUUAUUUUUUACUUUAGAAUGGAGAAGGGGAGAGGCCAACUUAUUUUGCUUUUUUUACUCCUUGGUAGAAAGGGUUUUUUUUUUUGUUAAUACAACUCACUUUUAUUAUAAAAAAUACAUCUCAAGUGUCAUCUAAGCGAAAAGUUUUGUGUGUUUGUACUCCACAUCCGUGAAGCACUUCACUCAAUCAAGAAGAUAUAUAAAAUUAUUAGUUUUUAGGUGUUGAAUGAAAGAGGCAUGCAAUCAAUUCCAAUUAAAUCAUGGUAAUUUUAACGAUAAAAAUCAGGUCUAAAGAAAUUGAAUUAUCCCACUAUAAUGUUACCUUCUUCCUAUCCUAAAUAACUACUAGUCGUUUAAAAAUUGUAUCAAAAUAUUUGGUAUUUUAAAGAAAUAAUAGGUCAGUUAAUGAUUUAGCGUGAGGUCUACAAGUACUUGUUUUUGUAUUUAAUUAUCUAAACGGACACAAUUGGCCGGCCAAAGGGAAUUGAAUAUGAACAUUCAAAUGAAAGAUUUUUUUACCAUGAAUAAAAGAAAACUUGAAAUCCACAUUAAAAAAAACAUGGAUAUUCCAUCUUGACAAAAUCAAUGAACAUAUUAUUGUGUAAAAUUAUUACUUUUACAUGAUUAUGGUAUCUGGGUUAGCUUUCAUGCAUCUCAAUUAAUUUCAUAUGAUAUAUGUAAUCUGUCAUGACCUCUCACCUACAACAAGUAUCAAUUAUCAGAAGACUCCGUUCAUUAAAGAUAAGACAGAUGAGAAGGAUCAUGACCUAGUAUUUUUAUUUCCGCUGAAAUAUAAACUUGAAACGUGAUGAUUCUUAACAACUUUAUAACCACUACAUCACAACACCCUUGGUUGCAGUGUAAAUUAUUUGGGGAAAACGAUUCAUCUUGAUUUGAUUUUUUUGUUUGGGUCAAUUUAGACCAAGUUAAAAAAUAACAAAAUAUAAAGUAGAAAUAGUCUAAACAAAUGAUGACACAUAACCUAUUAGCCAAAUGAAUAUUGAAAUUUUGGAAUCUAUAGAUCCAACAAAAACAAUUUAUUCAUAAACUAAUAAAUCUUUUUAUUAUUAAUCACUAAAGUUUUCUUCUAUUUCCUUACACCACAAAAAAAAAAAGAAAAAAAAAAAAAA
rnacentral:lncRNA from 1 species